rnacentral:rRNA from 1 species
UACAGAGGGUGCAAGCGUUAAUCGGAAUUACUGGGCGUAAAGCGUGCGUAGUCGGUUAUCUAAGUCGGGUGUGAAUCCCCGGGCUCAACCUGGGAACUGCAUCUGUGACUGACAUCGCUUGGAGUGCGGCAGGAGGGGGAUGGAAUUCCGCGUGUAGCAGUGAAAUGCGUAGAUAUGCGGAGGAACACCGAUGGCGAAGGCAUCCCCUGGGCCUGCACUGACGCUCAUGCACGAAAGCGUGGGGAGCAAACAGG